rnacentral:rRNA from 1 species
UACGAAGGGGGCUAGCGUUGUUCGGAUUUACUGGGCGUAAAGCGCACGUAGGCGGAUUGUUAAGUGAGAGGUGAAAUCCCAGAGCUCAACUCUGGAACUGCCUUUCAUACUGGCAAGCUAGAGUCCGGAAGAGGUAAGUGGAACUCCUAGUGUAGAGGUGGAAUUCGUAGAUAUUAGGAAGAACACCAGUGGCGAAGGCGGCUUACUGGUCCGGAACUGACGCUGAGGUGCGAAAGCGUGGGGAGCAAACAGG